rnacentral:sRNA from 1 species
CACCGCCAUUGCCGAUGAUGAGCCUAUCCCCAGACGCAGGCAGGAGUAAUUCAAGGCUAGCCAUACUCCGCUAAAAGCGCCACCCGACGGCAUUAUAAACAUUGCCUGACUUGGUUAGUUAGUUAACUAUACCAUCGAAACCAUUUCGUCAUUAUUAGGUCAUGCCGAUAAAAAACUAAGUUAGCGUCCAUGGCCAUCUUGAUUUCACAGCCCACGACAUGCUAAAUUGAUUUGAGCCUGGAAUCCAGCUACCACAUCGGUAUAGAUUGGGAUAUGAUUGACAUACCAUGGCGAUCAAAAAUCUCAGCAGGGAAAGAAGUUAGCUAAAAACGAGCAAGCACACGACAGCCCUCUAGAGAUAUCUAGGUUCAAUAUACGUCUACCUAACAACCAAUCAUAUCUAUGAAUAUCCGUUUAUAAGAAAAGCUGAAUAAAAUAUUUACGAACCCAGCGAGUUUAUUCAGCGUUAUCCAUUCUCAUUAGUAAUAUUUCCAUCUCCAGCACUAACAAUCCUGGAAGGUGUACUGUGGCCGAGAGACUAACGGCGGAAAGAAUAUUCAACGUAUGAACCAACAUAUAACGAAGAUGCGUCCUUUGGAACAACGCUAACGCUUUGGAUACCCCCAACUCACCGAAACAAUCCCAUCAUUCCCAUCCUAGACACUGAGACAUUUUUUCCACCCCAGCACACUUCAUCGCCACAAGCAGGAACGCAUUUCACUAUAGGAAUGAACCCUCAAAGCCUACUCUUCACCGUCUGCCCGCACUCCCAGGACUCUCCCGCUUCUAACGUCUGCCACCCCACCACAGAACCCGCCUCAACACAUAUCAUAUUCUUAUAGCCGUCAUCAGGGGCGAAAUCGGCCAUUCCUUUCGCCUUCUCGAUCCAGGGGUUCCAAACCACGAUGUCGUUAAGAGAUUCGCGGUAGAUGGAGAAAACGGGGUUGUUGUCGUCGUCUGCGACGACGAUUGGAACUGUUGGGUUAAGAGAUUGAUAGACCCGAUCUGUUUCUUGGGUGAUUGCAAGGGACGGGGAAGAUUCGACGUGGGUUGAUGCGUUGAGAACUUUGUCGACGUAUGUUUUGGAUUGGAGGUUUAGAAUACGGACUUUUGUGAUGUCCUUUUGCACAAUUUUAGCCAAAAUAGCUUCGCAUGAUCACGCUGGGGAGGUUAAAGGUUUGGCAGAUAGAGGUAAAAAAAAAAAAAAAAAAAAGAGUGACCACAACAUACCUCAACCUUGAAGUACGAAUGGAGCAGAACCUGAAACUCAAACGGUUGUGGUCCCUUAUUCUGGACCUGCAGGGACGUUCCCAGACUGCCCUUGCUCAACGUGACACUGUACACCAGUCCAAAAUCAUUCGGCCAAUCGCUUUUGAAUUUAUCACUCAACAUGCCUGCUGACAAGCCAAAGUCAAGUUUAACACUGCUAUCGCCAUUCUGUCCCUCCGAUUCCGAAGUUGAUUUCCCCAGAAAUUCCCAAUAUGAGUUGCGAGCAAAUCCGUGCUGGGGAAGCGCGGAAGUCGCAUGGUCCUUAGGCGGGGGGCCGAAAACCUAUAAUUUGUUGUAUAAAGCGUGGAAAUCAGCAAUUUGGCAAAUUCAAUUGGGGUGCCGUUUGGCUUGACAGCGCGUCUCUGUACUAUUGAAGUCAUACAAAUGUAUAAUAAAUGGUGAGCGGAAUUGAAGAUCUGGGUGUCACGAACAGGAAAAACCAACGGGAUACCCCCACGGAUGGGUUUAGAGCCAUCCAAAACGGCUUUUUCGCUCAGAAAUAGCUGCUCGUCGCCAUUGGCAAGUUUCCAUGACACGACUGUGGCUCCCAAAAGAUUGACGAUGACGGAGUCACCCGAGGCUAGCGACGCCUGGACCUUGUCCUCUUCUACGGAGAUUGAGGGC